AGGGUGCAAAUGAGAAAAUUUUAUUGGUAAAUGGGUAAUUUUUGUCUAAAUACUUCAUUGAUGUUAACACCUUAGAGAUCUGAUGCCCUGA